AACCCAUGAUGAGGGCAUGAGAGAAGAAGGUCUUUAAAUUUCUUUCAACAUUCAUAAAAAGUUUCAUUGUCUUUUUAUUGAAAAUUGCUGAUAUGUCUUUUCAGAAAGU